rnacentral:rRNA from 1 species
AUUGAACGCUGGCGGCAUGCCUAACACAUGCAAGUCGAACGCGAAAGUCCUUCGGGGCGAGUAGAGUGGCGGACGGGUGAGUAACGCGUGGGAAUCUGCCCUGCAGUGGGGGACAACCCGGGGAAACCCGGGCUAAUACCGCAUACGUCCUACGGGAGAAAGGGGGCUUCGGCUCUCGCUGCAGGAUGAGCCCACGUCCGAUUAGCUAGUUGGUAGGGUAAAGGCCUACCAAGGCAACGAUCGGUAGCUGGUCUGAGAGGAUGAUCAGCCACACUGGGACUGAGACACGGCCCAGACUCCUACGGGAGGCAGCAGUGGGGAAUAUUGGACAAUGGGCGCAAGCCUGAUCCAGCAAUGCCGCGUGUGUGAAGAAGGCCUGCGGGUUGUAAAGC